GUCUAACUAUGAAGCCAAAAAUUGAAUGUUUGAGUAGAUUUUAUUCUUUUCCUAAUGUAUGAAUAUCACAGUAUAGUUUAGUCAGUUAUUAUUAUUUAUUAGGUGAUAUGAAUAAAACCGAGCAUUUGCUCAUGCUCAACCUGGUUUGAGUAAAGUAAAGUGUCUGAGCAUUUACUCAAAUCCGUAUGAAUAAAGUGGUACUUUGCUCAGAGUAAGUUCGAAUUUCGAACUUAGCUUUUACUUUGUCAAAAAUCUUGUUUUUGUUUAUGCUUUUUGAUUUUUUUUGCGAAACAUAAAAAGAAUGCCAAUAGUGCAAUCAGUAUGUAGUGGUUUCGCGAAAAAAAUAGUAUGAAAGUGGAAAAGUUUGAGAUGUACCAUUUACUGCCAGUUGCUGAUGGAAUCACACACCCCGGCGAAAAACAAUUUUCAGCAUCCCACCUGCCGGGGAAGCGUCGGUGAGCGCAAAAAAUGGUCCGCCCGCAACCGCAACGCCUUCACCGGUGAACAGUCGAUUAUCAAACCAGAAAGAGACGGUGCCCUCGGAACGGGCCUACGGAAAUGGUACCCAAGUAAAUGCCAAGCCUGUGGGGUGGAUUAAAUGCCACUGUCAACAAGCAUCAGCACCAGAAAAACCACCAUACACACACUGGACAAGGAAAAGCAGAUCAAACUGGGGGCAACUAGCGGACAAUUCGGCUUCUUGAGUGAAUUCAAUAUGCCACAGGCUACCGGAUUGAAGGACCAUGACCUCACUGUCGCAAUCCAUAAUUCCUGGCUGCUGAAUAUAUAAAUAAACUGUGCUACAAACCCACUACAAAUGUUGAAAUUUUAAACAGUUUUCACAGGUAGGCAUGAACCAAUUGUGCUUAGAGACCUUUCUAAUAAUAUUUUUGAAGUUCACCAAAAAUAUAGGAAUCUGAGCAUAAUCUCAAAGAGAGAA